UACGGGGGGGGCAAGCGUUGUUCGGAAUUAUUGGGCGUAAAGAGCUCGUAGGCGGUCUGUCGCGUCUGCUGUGAAAACUCGGGGCUUAACCCCGGGCCUGCAGUGGGUACGGGCAGACUAGAGUGCGGUAGGGGAGACUGGAAUUCCAGGUGUAGCGGUGAAAUGCGCAGAUAUCAGGAGGAACACCGGUGGCGAAGGCGGGUCUCUGGGCCGAUAUUGACGCUGAGGAGCGAAAGCGUGGGGAGCGAACAGG
rnacentral:rRNA from 1 species